AACGCGAAGAACCUUACCUACCCUUGACAUCCUAGGAAUCCAGCAGAGACGUUGGAGUGCCUUCGGGAGCCUAGAGACAGGUGCUGCAUGGCUGUCGUCAGCUCGUGUCGUGAGAUGUUGGGUUAAGUCCCGUAACGAGCGCAACCCUUAUUCUUAGUUGCUAACAGGUUAUGCUGAGAACUCUAGGGAGACUGCCGGUGACAAGCCGGAGGAAGGUGGGGACGACGUCAAGUCAUCAUGGCCCUUACGGGUAGGGCUACACGCGUGCUACAAUGGGCGGUACAAAGGGAAGCGAAGCAGUGAUGUGGAGCGAAUCCUAUAAAAGCCGUUCUUAGUCCGGAUUGGAGUCUGCAACUCGACUCCAUGAAGUUGGAAUCGCUAGUAAUCGUAGAUCAGAACGCUACGGUGAAUACGUUCCCGGGCCUUGUACACACCGCUCGCGA
rnacentral:rRNA from 1 species